GCCACAACAAGAGGACAUAGUCUUAAAUUAGAGGGACAAAGGUUUAAAAAUAAUAUCAGGAAGUAUUACUUUGCUGAGAGGGUAGUGGAUGCAUGGAAUGGCCUUCCAGCUGAAGUGGUAGAGGUUAACACAGUAAAGGAGUUUAAGCAUGCGUGGGAUAUGCAUAAGGCUAUCCUAACUAUAAGAUAAGGCCAGGGAGUAAUGAAAGUAUUU